rnacentral:rRNA from 1 species
UGGGGAAUUUUGCACAAUGGGGGAAACCCUGAUGCAGCGACGCCGCGUGAUUUAGAAGGCCUUCGGGUUGUAAAAAUCUUUUGUAUGGGAAGAAAAUGACAGUACCAUAAGAAAAAGCCCCGGCUAACUACGUGCCAGCAGCCGCGGUAAUACGUAGGGGGCUAGCGUUGUCCGGAAUCACUGGGCGUAAAGGGCGUGUAGGCGGCUAGAUAAGUGUGAUGUUUAAAUCCAAGGCUUAACCUUGGGGUUCAUUACAAACUGUUUAGCUUGAGUGCUGGAGAGGAUAGUGGAAUUCCUAGUGUAGCGGUAAAAUGCGUAGAUAUUAGGAGGAACACCGGUGGCGAAGGCGGCUAUCUGGACAGUAACUGACGCUGAGGCGCGAAAGCGUGGGGAGCAAACAGG